GCCCAAGUGGUGAAAUUGGUAGACACGCCAUCUUGAGGGGGUGGUACCCGAAAGGGUGUGCUGGUUCGAAUCCAGUCUUGGGCA
rnacentral:tRNA from 3 species